rnacentral:rRNA from 1 species
AGAGUUUGAUCAUGGCUCAGAUUGAACGCUGGCGGCAGGCCUAACACAUGCAAGUCGAACGGUAGCACAGAGAGCUUGCUCUCGGGUGACGAGUGGCGGACGGGUGAGUAAUGUCUGGGAAACUGCCUGAUGGAGGGGGAUAACUACUGGAAACGGUAGCUAAUACCGCAUACGCCCUACGGGGGAAAGCAGGGGACCUUCGGGCCUCUUGCCAUCAGAUGUGCCCAGAUGGGAUUAGCUAGUAGGUGGGGUAACGGCUCACCUAGGCGACGAUCCCUAGCUGGUCUGAGAGGAUGACCAGCCACACUGGAACUGAGACACGGUCCAGACUCCUACGGGAGGCAGCAGUGGGGAAUAUUGCACAAUGGGCGCAAGCCUGAUGCAGCCAUGCCGCGUGUAUGAAGAAGGCCUUCGGGUUGUAAAGUACUUUCAGCGGGGAGGAAGGUGUUGAGGUUAAUAACCUUAUUCAUCGACGUUACCCGCAGAAGAAGCACCGGCUAACUCCGUGCCAGCAGCCGCGGUAAUAC